GUUGAGAGGAAUGUUGGCUGGCUCGAGGUCAUGAAGAUGAUCAAUUUCAUUUUAACGAAUGAAGCGAACCUAAAUGAUUCUCGGACCAGGCUUCAUUCCCCCCAAC
rnacentral:pre_miRNA from 1 species